AAAAAUGUGUAUGAUAGAGUAAAGAAUUUAUUAUAGGAAUAAGAGGUGACACCAAAGUUUCCGUCAGGGAAACAAUGGCUGCCCUCCUACCUGGGAGAUGUUUUUAGUUGUGCUACUGGUUUUUAGCAUCUCAUGGAUAGAGGCUGAGGAUGCUGCUGAUUGUCCCAUUUAGGACAGGCCAACACAACAAAGAUGGUCUGGUCCCAAGUGUCAAUUAUACCCAGGUCAGAAAAACCAUGCCUGAUACAGUUGGAAGAGGAGCUGGUCAGGUAUGGAACUGUUUGUAGAGGGCUAUGCCUCUGCCCUGGGGAUAAAGUGGUUUUCCCCUUGGAGUGUAAUAUAAAGGUUCUUUUGCAAACAAAUGCAAUCAGUAAACAGAUGAGUACAUUCAGAAGCAAAUACUAAGAAAAGGAGGAUGUAGUGCUCAAAAAAUGCCCCAAAUCCCUAAGGAGUGCAUAAUUAACAUACUGGCAAAACAUUAAAAUUUAAUAUUCCUUAUUUCAGCCUUAUUCCAUCUUCCUGAGGGCAACACUCCAAUGUGGCCUGAGCAAUAUCCAUUCAUCCUGUGUGUCAGAGUGGCAGUGCUGUGAAGUAGCCACAAGCGGAGGAAAAAAAACCUCUGACAUUUUCCCCUUGCUAUUCCAAUUGCUAAGCCAAGGGGACUUGCUGCCUACAAAUAAAGGUUCCUUUAAAAACAUUCCGUUAACCAAAAGCCGUAUGAUUGUUUGAGGAGGCACACAUCCAUUAAAAUGAAUAUGUCGGGGAGAUGCCAAUCAGAAGACGGCUGAAGAAUUAUUGCUAAAUCUCUCAACAAACACAUCUGCAUGUUUCAUUAUAAUCGAGUGAGAAGAACACGUUUGGGUGAGAAAUAUGAAGACAAUGGGAGAAAGAAAAGAGAAUUUCUGCGUCUCAGCUAUGACAUUGGUGCUGAGCCUGCAGACAAAAUACCUGGAUGAUCUGACACGCCGUGAGGAAGCCCAAGCAUCCUGUCCUGUGGAGUUAGAGAGUGAGGCCCCAUCUCAUCACCCUGGUUGAGCUUCCAGCUGACAGACAGCACCAAUGUGCAAGGUAGGUGAGCAAGUUACAUUGGAAUGGAAUCUUCCACUCCCCAUUGGUAAGGCACAGAGCAGAGAAGCAUUAACUCUGCUAAGCAGUGUGC